rnacentral:rRNA from 1 species
CCUACGGGAGGCAGCAGUCGAGAAUCAUUCACAAUGGGGGAAACCCUGAUGGUGCGACGCCGCGUGGGGGAAUGAAGGUCUUCGGAUUGUAAACCCCUGUCAUGUGGGAGCAAAUUAAAAAGAUAGUACCCCAAGAGGAAGAGACGGCUAACUCUGGGCCAGCAGCCGCGGUAAUACAGAGGUCUCAAGCGUUGUUCGGAAUCACUGGGCGUAAAGCGUGCGUAGGCUGUUUCGUAAGUCGUGUGUGAAAGGCGCGGGCUCAACCCGCGGACGGCACAAGAUACUGCGAGACUAGAGUAAUGGAGGGGGAACCGGAAUUCUCGGUGUAGCAGUGAAAUGCGUAGAUAUCGAGAGGAACACUCGUGGCGAAGGCGGGUUCCUGGACAUUAACUGACGCUGAGGCACGAAGGCCAGGGGAGCGAAAGGGAUUAGAUACCCGAGUAGUC